UACGGCGGGUGCAAGCGUUAUCCGGAUUCACUGGGUUUAAAGGGUGCGUAGGUGGAUUAGUAAGUCAGUGGUGAAAUCUCCGGGCUUAACCCGGAAACUGCCAUUGAUACUAUUAGUCUUGAAUACCGUGGAGGUCAGUGGAAUAUGUCAUGUAGCGGUGAAAUGCUUAGAUAUGACAUAGAACACCAAUUGCGAAGGCAGCUGGCUACACGAGCAUUGACACUCAGGCACGAAAGCGUGGGGAUCAAACAGG
rnacentral:rRNA from 1 species